UGGGGAAUUUUGGACAAUGGGCGAAAGCCUGAUCCAGCAAUGCCGCGUGUGUGAAGAAGGCCUUCGGGUUGUAAAGCACUUUUGUCCGGAAAGAAAUCCUUGGCUCUAAUACAGUCGGGGGAUGACGGUACCGGAAGAAUAAGCACCGGCUAACUACGUGCCAGCAGCCGCGGUAAUACGUAGGGUGCAAGCGUUAAUCGGAAUUACUGGGCGUAAAGCGUGCGCAGGCGGUUUGCUAAGACCGAUGUGAAAUCCCCGGGCUCAACCUGGGAACUGCAUUGGUGACUGGCAGGCUAGAGUAUGGCAGAGGGGGGUAGAAUUCCACGUGUAGCAGUGAAAUGCGUAGAGAUGUGGAGGAAUACCGAUGGCGAAGGCAGCCCCCUGGGCCAAUACUGACGCUCAUGCACGAAAGCGUGGGGAGCAAACAGGAUUAGAUACCCUGGUAGUCCACGCCCUAAAACGAUGUCAACUAGUUGUUGGGGAUUCAUUUCCUUAGUAACUAGCUAACGCGUGAAGUUGACCGCCUGGGGAGUACGGUCGCAAGAUUAAAACUCAAAUGAAUUG
rnacentral:rRNA from 1 species